GGAUUAGCCUCCAGCUUCAGCUUCUUCAGGUGGAUGAAGUCCCUUCUGAUCCCCUCCUGCAGGAGCUUGAGAUCUCCCCAAGAGCAGAUAAUUUUGGCGCCGUCCCUGGCUAGGGUUGACAUGGAGAUGACUCAGCUCACCCAGGAGAAUGAAGACUUCGCCACUCGGGAUCGCUACCACCACUCCUCCCUUGUGAGUCGGGAACAGCUGAUGUCUCAGUACUGACGUGCUGGGUACUCAUUAGUAGGCAGCCCAAGGACCCUCCUCUGUUGGAGCUGUCCAGUGCAUAAUGGAUCCAAAUCCCAGAACCUUCAUGAUGCUGGUUCUCCUCAGUAAGAAACUCAGAGACCUGUCCUCCCCCUGCUGGUUUGGACAACGGAAAUCUGCCUUCUGGCCUGGAACACCCAUCUCAUCAGGGUAACCCCUGGAAUGGCUAUGGCCUCUGCAACAUGCAUCCAGUUUGGAGAGCGCCACACGGACAUCAAGACUUGUAGGUGUAGAGAACCAGACCAGGUUGCUUGUUCUGAAGGCCACAAUAAAUGGUUGUUUUAAA